GGCAUUUAUUCUCUGAAGGCCAAAAUACUUCCAGCACUGGAGCAUAAGGCCGGAAAUGAGCCAUCUGAUCACUCUGAUGGAAGAUGAUGAGAACAGUUCAGAAGUUAGAGUCUGAGACAAAUGCAAGGGGACAUAGCCAAGACACAAACAUCCAACAACUAACUUCUAGAGGGAAGAAUUUCAGCAGAGAUAUGAGUAGACCUCAGAGAAGCAAAGCUCGCAUCAAAUGCUUUCUUUUUCUGCCCUACCUGCUUUGACUUGGCAAUGACAAUCCCUGAAGUGACCAUGAAGAAACGUAGAGCACAGUUCAAAGGGACAGUCUUGGAAUGAGUAAAAUGGUAAGCUGAAACUGAAAAAAAGGCAGUAGUUUCAGAGAUGUAUAGGAAGCAAAAAAAGGCAAAAGCAUCAUUUAAAGGAGGCUUUUAAAUGGCAUUCUUUUCAUUGAUGACAAACAAAUCGGGAUCCUUUUACUUGAUGAAGUGUUACUGCCAACAGGAGACUCUCGCCUGUCCGUUUUGGGUUACAGACCCCUCCUGUACUGAGCAAUGAUCAGAUGAAAAUAUUGGAGCUACUUUUUGGAAUCAACUGAAGCGUAUGAUGUGUGAUAAGCCAAAACCAUCAGUGGCAUUCAGUGAUGAAGGCAUAAUCAACCGGACUUGGUGCCUGAGGUGGUCUGCCUCCUUGCAUUUCCUUCUACCUUACAUUUCUGUUUGAGAGAUUUGCUUUCAUUCUUUUCAGAUCUCUAGUGCAUGCAGUGGAAAUCCUUCUUAAGCAUUCCUCUCUCUAUUUUGUUUUUUUUCCCCUAUAGAUUGCAUGCUUCCUUCACCCUCUGAGAAAUAGGUCUGGCAGCUUUGAGGCAAGUUUCUUAAAGUGUGGUGGGAAUGCUUUGCGUUAUUUGUUGAACUUCUUACAAGCGUUCUCCUUCAUCAUGCCCAAUGUGCUAUUUGCAAAACACACGGCAAAUAACCAUUCAUCACUUUACAUCAUCAUAGCACUGCACCACUUGAUUUCUUCUCCUCUAGGAAAUACAGAUGAAUGCCAGACCACAACACAGACAAUUUCGGGCCUUUUGUGACUCCUAAAAUCUCAUGACGCAGGGGAAGUAAACUGAUAAACAGAGUUAUGGACAUGCAUUAUUUACUCAUGUAUCAAGACGCUAAAGAUAGUCUUAGAGGACCAAGGGGUCAAAGGGCUGUUUUAGUUAAUUCAUUAAGCAUUAUUCAGUCAAUUAAUUAAUUCAAUGUAGCUUUGUGAGUGCUAACUAGGCCCAGGCAUUAUUCUGAACACUGUGUGAGAUCUACAAUGAAAUGAAACUCAGAUCUCUGUUUUCAAAGAGACUGUAAUUUAGAAGAGAUAAGUUAGACAUAAACAAUUGUGCAUUUGAAAAUUCAUACCAUUAAAGUGGUUCCUUGAUUGCCAUACUCCCUCUUUCUCUUCUUCUUCUUCUUCUUUUUUUUUUUUUUUUAGAUUUUAUCUAUUUAUUUGACAGAGAGAGAGACAGCCAACAAGAGAGGGAACACAAGCAGGGGGAGUGGGAGAGGAAGA